rnacentral:rRNA from 1 species
GGUGAACGCCGGCGGCAUGCCUUACACAUGCAAGUCGAACGGCAGCAUGGAGAGCUUGCUCUCUGAUGGCGAGUGGCGAACGGGUGAGUAAUGCAUCGGAACGUACCGUGUAAUGGGGGAUAACGUAGCGAAAGUUACGCUAAUACCGCAUACGACCUGAGGGUGAAAGCAGGGGAUCGCAAGACCUUGCGUUAUACGAGCGGCCGAUGUCAGAUUAGCUAGUUGGUGAGGUAAAGGCUCACCAAGGCGACGAUCUGUAGCGGGUCUGAGAGGAUGAUCCGCCACACUGGGACUGAGACACGGCCCAGACUCCUACGGGAGGCAGCAGUGGGGAAUUUUGGACAAUGGGGGCAACCCUGAUCCAGCCAUGCCGCGUGAGUGAAGAAGGCCUUCGGGUUGUAAAGCUCUUUCGGCCGGGAAGAAAUCGCACAGGCUAAUACUCUGUGUGGAUGACGGUACCGGCAUAAGAAGCACCGGCUAACUACGUGCCAGCUGCCGCCGUAA